GAUGAACGCUGGCGGCGUGCCUAAUACAUGCAAGUCGAGCGAACAGACGAGGAGCUUGCUCCUCUGACGUUAGCGGCGGACGGGUGAGUAAAACGUGGAUAACCUACCUAUAAGACUGGGAUAACUUCGGGAAACCGGAGCUAAUACCGGAUAAUAUAUUGAACCGCAUGGUUCAAUAGUGAAAGACGGUUUUGCUGUCACUUAUAGAUGGAUCCGCGCCGCAUUAGCUAGUUGGUAAGGUAACGGCUUACCAAGGCAACGAUGCGUAGCCGACCUGAGAGUGUGAUCGGCCACACUGGAACUGAGACACGGUCCAGACUCCUACGGGAGGCAGCAGUAGGGAAUCUUCCGCAAUGGGCGAAAGCCUGACGGAGCAACGCCGCGUGAGUGAUGAAGGUCUUCGGAUCGUAAAACUCUGUUAUUAGGGAAGAACAAAUGUGUAAGUAACUAUGCACGUCUUGACGGUACCUAAUCAGAAAGCCACGGCUAACUACGUG
rnacentral:rRNA from 1 species